rnacentral:misc_RNA from 1 species
GUUCUGACAGAAGUGCGCGAAAAAGAAAAAAAAGGCGCGAGUCUACAGGGCUUCCAGCUCGUGCGGGCUGUCGGUUGAUGCAUGAUUCUUCAAGGAGCACGUGUGCAUAUAAGUAGUCAAAAAACGGCGAUAUAUUUAUCGUACAGAGUCCACUAUCCACGCAUAUUUUGCUGAACAUGAGGUUAACAUGCGAUACAGAAAUCUGUUAUCGGGAGUACCAGCCUUCGAGAGCUACAUCGAAGAAGAAAGCUGCGUUCACAAUUAUCACGUUGUGUCGCAAGCCAGGAGAAACAGAGCUGCAGAAAACGAGCACAUAUUUGCUACUGUGCACUCCAAAGAACCCAGCAGGAACUAAGUAUAAGAUCUUUAACAAUGUUGAGAGGCUCUUCACAAAUUGUGUUACCGAAGGGAAGGCUACUAUUCAACUACGAGAACCAAAACACAACUUGAUCAUUAGUAAGGCUGAUAUUACGAAGUUGCGCCAGUUCCUGCAUUUAAUAAAUAUUGCACACCAUGGUAAGGACCUUGAUCAAUCUGUGUUUUCUGGACCUCCAUCAAAAGUCACUCCAACCAAAGAAACCUUAGUUGUACGUCACCGGAGCAACUAUCCAUCUGGUGGAUUUCCAAGAACACUAAAAACACUGACGGUAGAGGGCUGCCCCUUGGCUCGGCUGUGUCAUGAUAUACUUGCACUGGGCAACCUUUGUAGCCUCAAGUUAGUUGAUAACAGCCUGAAGACGUUGCCUCCCCAACUGAGCAGUCUACCCUUGCGACAGUUAAUUGUUUCACAGAACAACAUUGAAAGGUUGCCUCCUGAGCUUUUUGAAGGCCAGCUUCUUAAAUCCCUUCAGUACCUCGACAUUUCUAAAAACAAGCUUGCUGUUCUACCAGACACAGUGUGUUGUGCACGAAAGCUAACGACUCUGGUAAUAAAAAACAAUCGUCUCCAAAAGCUCCCAUAUGGUCUAGGUUUUAUGUCCUGCCUCUCCGUCCUCGACGUGACGAGUAAUGCACUCAGAUUGCUGCCAGCCAGUCUGCUGAUGGGGACAUUGAAUUUGAUCUCAAUUUGUGGCAACCCUAUGGAUGGUGUCACACCCCUAGAGGCUACUACCAACCAAGGACCACUACCUCUGCUUCAGUUGGCAGCUCAAGCCUCUGCUGCCAGUGGGUAUGGGAGUGGGCAACCAGCAGUUCAAAGUAUGCUUGUGGCUCAGCUGUGGGAGGCUUGGCACUUUGCCAAGCUGCAUGUAAUACCGUUGUCAGGCAGGCAAAUCUAGUGUCUCUUCCAGUGAGUGCAUUUCGCCAUUAACAGACUGUCAUCCCUGGGCUGUCACACUGGAAGGUUUGGUGACACUGUCUGAAAGUGGAGUUGACAGCUGAGGAUGUCCCAAGAUCUCUACUGGAGCUGCUGUGCACUGCUAGCCCCUGUUACAGCUGCAAACAAUUUGUGAUCCCAGC